UCCUACGGGAGGCAGCAGUGGGGAAUCUUAGACAAUGGGCGCAAGCCUGAUCUAGCCAUGCCGCGUGUGUGAUGAAGGCCCUAGGGUCGUAAAGCACUUUCGCCAGGGAUGAUAAUGACAGUACCUGGUAAAGAAACCCCGGCUAACUCCGUGCCAGCAGCCGCGGUAAUACGGAGGGGGUUAGCGUUGUUCGGAAUUACUGGGCGUAAAGCGUACGUAGGCGGAUCAGAAAGUUGGGGGUGAAAUCCCAGGGCUCAACCCUGGAACUGCCUCCAAAACUCCUGGUCUUGAGUUCGAGAGAGGUGAGUGGAAUUCCAAGUGUAGAGGUGAAAUUCGUAGAUAUUUGGAGGAACACCAGUGGCGAAGGCGGCUCACUGGCUCGAUACUGACGCUGAGGUACGAAAGUGUGGGGAGCAAACAGGAUUAGAUACCCUGGUAGUCCACACCGUAAACGAUGAAUGCCAGUCGUCGGGCAGUAUACUGUUCGGUGACACACCUAACGGAUUAAGCAUUCCGCCUGGGGAGUACGGUCGCAAGAUUAAAACUCAAAUGAAUUGACGG
rnacentral:rRNA from 1 species